AUGAACGCUGGCGGCGUGCCUAAUCCAUGCAAGUCGAGCGCACGGACGAGAAGCUUGCUUCUCUGAUGUUAGCGGCGGACGGGUGAGUAACACGUGGAUAACCUACCUAUAAGACUGGGAUAACUUCGGGAAACCGGAGCUAAUACCGGAUAAUAUUUUGAACCGCAUGGUUCAAAAGUGAAAGACGGUCUUGCUGUCACUUAUAGAUGGAUCCGCGCUGCAUUAGCUAGUUGGUAAGGUAACGGCUUACCUAGGCAACGAUGCAUAGCCGACCUGAGAGGGUGAUCGGCCACACUGGAACUGAGACACGGUCCAGACUCCUACGGGAGGCAGCAGUAGGGAAUCUUCCGCAAUGGGCGAAAGCCUGACGGAGCAACGCCGCGUGAGUGAUGAAGGUCUUCGGAUCGUAAAACUCUGUUAUUAGGGAAGAACAUAUGUGUAAGUAACUGUGCACAUCUUGACGGUACCUAAUCAGAAAGCCACGGCUAACUACGUG
rnacentral:rRNA from 1 species